AUACGGCCAUAUCACGUUCAAGCACCGGUUCUCGUACGAUCACCAAAGUUAAGCAACGUCGAGCCAGGUCAUUAUCUAGAUGGGUGACCGUUUGGGAAUGCCAGGUGC